rnacentral:miRNA from 1 species
CCUUAUCAUUCUCGUGUCCAGG